rnacentral:rRNA from 1 species
UACGUAGGGUGCGAGCGUUGUCCGGAAUUACUGGGCGUAAAGGGCUCGUAGGCGGCCAACUAAGUCAUACGUGAAAUCCCUCGGCUUAACCGGGGAACUGCGUCUGAUACUGGAUGGCUUGAGUUCGGGAGAGGGAUGCGGAAUUCCAGGUGUAGCGGUGAAAUGCGUAGAUAUCUGGAGGAACACCGGUGGCGAAGGCGGCAUCCUGGACCGAUACUGACGCUGAGGAGCGAAAGCCGGGGGAGCAAACGGG